AUGUUGUGGGGCAAUGCUUUUAUUGUUUGUUUUUUUACCAAAAUGCAAAAUACAACAAACGUACAGAACAAGAAAGGACAGCCGGGGUAUGGGGUGUAUUACAAAACAUGCAUUAUAAAAAACUGUGAGCACCCCAUCCCUGGUAGGGGGUACCAGGCCCUUGGCAACGGCGGCCAUGUUCCCUGGGUGCUGGCUUCCUGGGCCCGGCAGUCCUUUCUCCACGCAGGGAGAGGGGUCCCUGAUCUCUCUGGCAAGACCAAGAGCCGGGGAUCACAUCUGAGCCAGGGGGUGUCUGUGUCCCUGUGGUCUUGGUUCUGGUCCCUGCCCCUGAGAGCUGGGCCUUGCCAAAUUUCCAACUGUGGGCAAGCCUGGUCAGGCCAAAUUUACCACACUUCUUGUGGACCCCCUCUCCUCCUGGGUGUCCUCCUCUGGGGUGGGGACAGCUGGACCCUAGCUUGCUCUCUCUGUGCCCAACCGUGGGCUGGAUGGGUGGCUGCCUGGAGCGCGGGGUGGGUCUCCCUUGGGGGGUCCUGGACUCGUACCUGGGGUUGGGGGGAAGCCCAGAACCCCUGGGUAGUGAUGAGGUGCUCGUCUGGGGCUGUGCACGCUCUUCUGGGGCGGGGCCCCACGUUGGGCCCUUCUGGUGGGGCGAGGGGGCUGCUCUCCUGGUUGGGCUGGAGCUGCACUCUGUCCCCCCAUGCCUCCCUGCUCUCUGGCUUUGGGGGCCCCGUGGCGGUACUGCUGGUCCUGGCCUGGGUGGCGGAUGUGAUCACCCUGGGGGCGGUUGUUCUCUACCUGCUGCCGUGCAGGUGUUGGGGGGUUAUAGCUGCCACUGCUGCUGCGGUGGGGGUCCUGGUGUGGGGAUGGCUGGGCACUCUCCCUCCAUCCUUUUACAUUCCAUCAUCUGAACCUCACUGUAAUGAGUAUAACCAUCCAGCAACUUGUUGCUUUAUGCUGCUUCAUGGUUUUACCCCCCACCCCUCCUAUGAUCACCCUCCUAUCCCCCUCUUUCUAACAUCCCUCUCUCUUCUUCCCUCCUUUCCUUUUCCGUCCGGUCCAACACCAAAGAUUUUCAAAAACGAUUAA
rnacentral:lncRNA from 1 species